rnacentral:rRNA from 1 species
UACGUAGGGUGCAAGCGUUGUCCGGAAUUAUUGGGCGUAAAGAGCUCGUAGGCGGCUUGUCGCGUCGACUGUGAAAACCUAGGGCUCAACCCUGGGCCUGCAGUCGAUACGGGCAAGCUAGAAUUCGGUAGGGGAGACUGGAACUCCUGGUGUAGCGGUGAAAUGCGCAGAUAUCAGGAAGAACACCGGUGGCGAAGGCGGGUCUCUGGGCCGAUAUUGACGCUGAGGAGCGAAAGCGUGGGGAGCGAACAGG